GAUGAACGCUAGCUACAGGCUUAACACAUGCAAGUCGAGGGGCAGCGCAGUGUAGCAAUACAUGGGCGGCGACCGGCGCACGGGUGCGUAACGCGUAUCCAACCUUCCCGUUACUCAGGGAUAGCCUUCCGAAAGGGAGAUUAAUACCUGAUGGUAUUCAAAUUUCGCAUGUUAUUUGAAUUAAAGAUUUAUCGGUAACGGAUGGGGAUGCGUGACAUUAGGUAGAUGGCGGGGUAACGGCCCACCAUGCCUACGAUGUCUAGGGGUUCUGAGAGGAAGGUCCCCCACACUGGAACUGAGACACGGUCCAGACUCCUACGGGAGGCAGCAGUGAGGAAUAUUGGUCAAUGGUCGGAAGACUGAACCAGCCAAGUAGCGUGAAGGAUGAAGGUUCUAUGGAUUGUAAACUUCUUUUAUACGGGAAUAAAACCACCUACGUGUAGGUGCUUGUAUGUACCGUAUGAAUAAGCAUCGGCUAACUCCGUGCCAGCAGCCGCGGU
rnacentral:rRNA from 1 species